rnacentral:rRNA from 1 species
AUGGAACAGAUGGCCACAUCAUAUUUCAAGGAGGUGUACACCAAGGACCCAACCUUAACUCCGGAGGUCAUCCUGGAUUGUAUCACUCCAAAGUUCACAAAUGAUAUGAAUGAUGCUCUAUGUGCACCGUUCUCUAAACAGGAUGUUUCUGACGCUUUGUUUCAGAUUGGUCCUUUAAAGGCACCUGGCUCGGCCGGUUUGCCGGCCAGGUUUUAUCAACGCAAUUGGGCGGUUCUUAAAUAUGAAAUUGUUGGAGUUGUCCAGGAAUUCUUUAAUUCUGGGGUUAUGCCGGAAGGAGUUAAGGAUACAGCUAUUGUCCUAAUCCCAAAAGUUUCACAUCCAAAGGAACUAAAGGAUUUCAGGCCAAUAAGCUUAUGCAAUGUCAUUUAUAAGAUCAUCUCUAAGUGCUUGGUUAAUCAUCUACGCCCUUUGUUAAUGGAACUUAUUUCUAAGAACCAAAGUGCUUUUAUUUUGGCGUCUUAUUACAGAUAA